rnacentral:rRNA from 1 species
AGGAGGCAGCAGUGGGGAAUCUUGCACAAUGGGCGAAAGCCUGAUGCAGCGACGCCGCGUGAAGGAUGAAGGCCUUCGGGUUGUAAACUUCUUUUGCAGGGGAAGAUAAUGACGGUACCCUGCGAAUAAGCCACGGCUAACUCUGUGCCAGCAGCCGCGGUAAGACAGAGGUGGCGAGCGUUGUUCGGAAUUACUGGGCUUAAAGGGCGCGUAGGCGGUGAUAUAAGUCUGGGGUGGAAGCCCAUAGCUUAACUAUGGGACUGCCCUGGAAACUGUAUUGCUUGAGUCGGACAGGGGAAGGCGGAAUUCCAGGUGUAGCGGUGAAAUGCGUAGAUAUCUGGAGGAAGGCCUGUGGUGAAGACGGCCUUCUGGGUCUUGACUGACGCUGAGGCGCGAAAGCGUGGGUAGCAAACAGGAUUAGAUACCCCGGU